rnacentral:rRNA from 1 species
AGUGAACGCUGGCGGCGGGCCUAAUACAUGCAAGUCGAGCGGAAAGACAGGGAGCUUUUUCCCUUGAGGGUGGCGGGGGGCGGGCGGGUGAGACAUGGAUAACCUUCCUCUAAUUCGGGGGGAAUUUCGGGGAAACGGUUACGAUACUCGAGAAUAUAAUGUACGGGUGGGAGCAAUAGUUCAACGCGGUUUUUGUGUUUGCUUGAGACGGUGCCGGAUUAGCUAGUUGGGGAGGUAACGGCCUACCAAGGCGACGAUCCGUAGCCGAUCUGAGAGGGUGAUCGGCCACACUGGAACUGAGACACGGUCCAGACUCCUACGGGAGGCAGCAGUAGGGAAUCUUCCGCAAUGGGCGAAAGCCUGACGGAGCAACGCCGCGUGAGUGAUGAAGGUCUUCGGAUCGUAAAACUCUGUUAUUAGGGAAGAACAAAUGUGUAAGUAACUAUGCACGUCUUGACGGUACCUAAUCAGAAAGCCACGGCUAACUACGUG